rnacentral:rRNA from 1 species
GGACAAAGUCUGAUGGAGCAACGCCGCGUGAGUGAAGAAGGGUUUCGGCUCGUAAAACUCUGUUGUUAAAGAAGAACAUAUCUGAGAGUAACUGUUCAGGUAUUGACGGUAUUUAACCAGAAAGCCACGGCUAACUACGUGCCAGCAGCCGCGGUAAUACGUAGGUGGCAAGCGUUGUCCGGAUUUAUUGGGCGUAAAGCGAGCGCAGGCGGUUUUAAGUCUGAUGUGAAAGCCUUCGGCUCAACCGAAGAAGUGCAUCGGAAACUGGGAAACUUGAGUGCAGAAGAGGACAGUGGAACUCCAUGUGUAGCGGUGAAAUGCGUAGAUAUAUGGAAGAACACCAGUGGCGAAGGCGGCUGUCUGGUCUGUAACUGACGCUGAGGCUCGAAAGUAUGGGUAGCAAACAGGAUUAGAUACCCUGGUAG